rnacentral:snRNA from 1 species
CUGCCUUGGCAGCAUAUACACUAAGAUUGGAACAACACAGAGAAUAUAAGCAAGGAUAACACCCAAGGAUGAUAUUCAUGAUGUUACAUUUAUUUUU